rnacentral:rRNA from 1 species
GACGAACGCUGGCGGCGUGCCUAACACAUGCAAGUCGAGCGAGUGGAGUUCUUCGGAACAAAGCUAGCGGCGGACGGGUGAGUAACACGUGGGCAACCUGCCUCAUAGAGGGGAAUAGCCUCACGAAAGGGGGAUUAAUACCGCAUAAGAUUGUAACUUCGCAUGAAGUAGCAAUUAAAGGAGCAAUCCGCUAUGAGAUGGGCCCGCGGCGCAUUAGCUAGUUGGUGAGGUAACGGCUCACCAAGGCGACGAUGCGUAGCCGACCUGAGAGGGUGAUCGGCCACAUUGGGACUGAGACACGGCCCAGACUCCUACGGGAGGCAGCAGUGGGGAAUAUUGCACAAUGGGGGAAACCCUGAUGCAGCAACGCCGCGUGAGUGAUGACGGCCUUCGGGUUGUAAAGCUCUGUCUUCAGGGACGAUAAUGACGGUACCUGAGGAGGAAGCCACGGCUAACUACGUGCCAGCAGCAGCCGCCGUAA